rnacentral:rRNA from 1 species
GAUGAACGCUGACAGAAUGCUUAACACAUGCAAGUCUUUGGCGAAGCUGUGCUUGCACAGCCUAGCCAAGGCGGACGGGUGAGUAACGCGUAAGGAACUUGCCCUGCAGUCAGGGAUAACAGACGGAAACGACUGAUAAGACCUGGUAAAGUCAGGCGGACUCAUGUCCAGCCUGAUGAAAAGAGAUGCUGCAGGAGAGCCUUGCGUCCUAUUAGCUUGUUGGUGGGGUAACGGCCCACCAAGGCGAUGAUAGGUAGCCGGCCUGAGAGGGUGGACGGCCACAGGGGGACUGUGUUACGGCCUGUACUCCUCCGGGAGGCAGCAGUGGGGAGUAUUGGACAAUGGGGGCCACACUGAACCAGCCUUUCUGUGUGGAAGAUGAAGGUUUUCGGAUUGUAAAGUGCUUGCAGCAGGGAAGAAAAAAUGACGCUACCGGCAGAGGAAGCGACGGCUACAUCCGUG